CAGCAGUGGGGAAUUUUGGACAAUGGGCGCAAGCCUGAUCCAGCCAUGCCGCGUGCAGGAUGAAGGCCUUCGGGUUGUAAACUGCUUUUGUACGGAACGAAAAGACUCCUUCUAAUAAAGGGGGUCCAUGACGGUACUGUAAGAAUAAGCACCGGCUAACUACGUGCCAGCAGCCGCGGUAAUACGUAGGGUGCGAGCGUUAAUCGGAAUUACUGGGCGUAAAGCGUGCGCAGGCGGUUAUAUAAGACAGAUGUGAAAUCCCCGGGCUCAACCUGGGAACUGCAUUUGUGACUGUAUAGCUAGAGUACGGUAGAGGGGGAUGGAAUUCCGCGUGUAGCAGUGAAAUGCGUAGAUAUGCGGAGGAACACCGAUGGCGAAGGCAAUCCCCUGGACCUGUACUGACGCUCAUGCACGAAAGCGUGGGGAGCAAACAGGAUUAGAUACCCUGGUAGUCCACGCCCUAAACGAUGUCAACUGGUUGUUGGGUCUUCACUGACUCAGUAACGAAGCUAACG
rnacentral:rRNA from 1 species